CAACGCCAGACUCAAUUAAGGCUUUGUAAAAUGGAGAAUUUGGUCCAUCAACCAAUAGUGAAGACAAGAGACUUAGCGUGAAAGUUUCAAAAACGUCUGUAAUGUCUGUCAACAAGUAACUGACGCUGACAGUCGUUUGCUUGGAAGGAUCACUAGCAAAUGAGUCUAAGCCACAUGUUAUAUGGUGUUCUUGAGGCUUUUCCCAGAUUUUCUGUUUUGGGAUGUCAGUCUUUGAUUCAAUUCUUUCAAAUUUU
rnacentral:lncRNA from 1 species